GUUUUUGUCGGCUUUCUAUGUUGUACCGGCGGCCGGCGGAUAUGAAGAAAACGGCACAAAAUAGAAAGCCCGAGAAAGGUG
rnacentral:pre_miRNA from 1 species